rnacentral:rRNA from 1 species
UAGUCUUUUUAUUGGAGAAUAGAAUGAAUGGUCUCACCGAUAAAAUAUUUUUCACUAUAAAAUUGAAUUUCUUUCUCAAUGAAAAAAUUGAGAUAUUAUUUUUAGACGAUAAGACCCUAUGAAGCUUUACUAAAAUUUAGUUUUUUUGGGGCAAAAUGAAAUUUAGGUAUUUCUUCAUUGUGAAAAUUUGAUCUUAAAAAAUUUUAAGAAAAAGCUACUCUAGGGAUAACAGCAUAAUUUUUAUAAAAGCCCUUAUUAAAAUAAAAGAUUGUGACCUCGAUGUUGAAUUAAGGAUUUUAUUUUGUGCAGCAGCUAAAUAAAAAUAGUCUGUUCGACUAUAAUCCCUUA